GCCUUGGUACCUUGCAGUGCACUAACCUUAAUACAACACCAGUGUACUAAUCCUAAUCCUGGAUAUGCGGUAUGUAUCCUAAUCCUGGGGUGGUGUCCCAAUCCUAAUCCUGUGGCCGGGUCCCAAUCCUAAUCCUGUGGGUGAGGUCCCAAUCAUAAUCCUACACUCGGGUCCUCAUCCUAAACCUGGCCUCAACUUUGAAUCCUAAUCCUGCCCCUCUUUCCGAAUCCUAAUUCCUGCCUGACCGGUACCCGAACCCAAUCCCUAAUCUUUGCACACCUCUGCGUCAGUUAACUAACCCAGAGUAACCCUGAAGCACGGAGUUGCUAACUCUCAUGCGUGUCGUUUGGGCACAGCUGGGCUGUCUGGAAUUUCACUAGUGCCCCUAUGCUGGGCCAUAUCAGUCCAUUCGGUCUGCCUGGGCUCUAGCCAGUAAUGGCUCCGGUACUCCAUUCCCAACGUAAGAGAUUUUCCGGGGGAUUGUUGAGGACGGCAUGCCCGUUUCCUGGUCUCCACUUGACUUCCCAGUACGCCCUAGCGCCUAUGGCGUGGCGGUUCCGAAUGUGCAUUUCUACUAAAAAAGCGUGCCUGAGCAAAGUGUACCUGCCAACCUGCAUGUGCUGCGUGCAUGCCUGAAGCGCCCCAUGAGAGAUCCCCAGAGAGUGAGGCAGGUAUACGAGGAUUAUCUAUGAGGGGUAUGGGUAAGAUGACUAACACAAGCAGCUGGAAGGGCCAGGGAUGGAGCUAUUGGGAGCCCUGUAAUAGCUAGAAGGGCCAGAGAGGGAGCUAUUGGGAGCCAUGUAAUUCGACUUCGGGGGUAGGGGCCCUGCAAUUGAGAGCCUUUGUCCGUUGCUUCCCGCCGGCCCUGGCAAGUUAGAAAAAAAUGCAGGUCGUGCAAUAUGUGCCAGCAUGCCUCACGCAUGCCUAUGAGCUUCAGCGUAACACGACACGGACACAAAAGCGCCCAAUACUGCAACUGGGGUCAUAGUGCGUACGCCUGACAGAAGGGUGGCAGCAGGCCCACAAGCUACACCGAUACAAGCAGAAAGCACGUGUGCGGUGCGGCAACCGUACGUAGGAUGUUAGACAACAUGCCGGGUCCGUCUGCGCAAUCGUAGAAUCGACGACCGUGAGUUGUCAUAUGUG
rnacentral:lncRNA from 1 species